UGCUGCGUGCAGCGUCCUGGGCUGAGCUGCUCCCUGCUGUCACACUCACACACACACAAACAAAUGCAUAGACUCAGUGGGGGAGAUUUUGGGGUGUCCCUCACCCUAAUACCAUCCACAAUACACCAGCCCUGCAUCUGUUGCUCCUACUCUCAAAGUUGAAAGUUGAUCAGCGAACUGCUAGCAUGUCUCCGCUCUCUAGAUUUGUCUGUUCAUUUCUAUUUUUCACCUUAACUGUCUCUGUACACUUGUUCCUUUUUGUUUUUCUUUUGAAUUUCCAUCCCUCUCCAAAGAUGGCUAACUAUUUUUCCCAUUUUUCUCCACCUUUGUGUUUCUUUUUUUGACUAGCAUUGGAUUGUAAGCAUUAGCCAGUGGCCCAGUCUUUGUCUUUUGCCUGUCAAAAAAUGGAGGCAGAGGCUUCACCCUCUGAAGGCCUCCAUCGUACAGACAGCUGUUUAACCUGCUAGCAACUGCCUCAGCCAGGUGUAAAUACUCAGCAAACUCCUCGUGCUGCCAGGGCGGAAAAUGAAACGGCCUCUCCAGCUGGAAGAACAAGUGUUGUGUGGGCUCCCUGAAGUGGUGCAGCACUGGGUCAUUGGAGAGCCACAGCGUGUUUGGGAACACAACAGUCUGUGUUUUUUUUCAGCACAGCUUGUUGGAUGAAGGGCCAUUUCACAGGCAUUAUGGAUUAAUCUUUGGCAGGAUCCCUCCAGGAUCAAGCAAAACUGGGCGUUUAACCUCACGUGUCACGACAGAGAGUUCUCUGGUGAUAAACCAGGACAGAGAGGAUUGAACGUGACCCGCAUUUCUCUGUAGAUUCAUUACUUGAGUCCUUCUUAAAAAUAAAAUAUGGGUACACAUCCUUCUUCAGGUACCAGAAAGUGACCGUUUGAACUGCACUGCUGUGUCUGUCACUCCACCUUGCUGUCACCUGCACACAAUCACAGAUUCACAGCUGACACGUCCCACCGCUGCUUAUAAACUGUUCGUUAUGCUCAGCUCAAUAUUGAAAUGCUUUCAAGUUCAUUUUGACAGGAGGUGUGAUUGACAGGUGUAAAUUGAACAGUCUGGGUGCAAACAGAAAGACUGCUUAUAUGUAUUCCUGCAGCUGUACAUGUGUGAACUGUUUUA